GCCCGCCCUCCCGCUGGAAUCCCGGGCGGCGCGGCGGCACCGGGACGCGCGGCUCCCCCGGGGCGAGCGAGGGAGCGGCGCUGGCGAGGAGGAGCCGCCGCCUCACGCUGCGGCACCGGCCCGGGCAGCGCAGGUGGCAGUGUAGAAGCCAAGAACAAAAAUUGGCAGAAAUUCUGUUCUGUGUACGAGAAUAUGAAGAGUGUACUCAUGACUAAGCACAGGAACCUGGAAAACCACAGGCUUUAGUCAGGUGAUCCCUGAUGAGUAGCCAGCCCUCCAAGAAGGGACCUCAGCACACAGGUAAGAGAGAAGCUGUGUACUCUUAAUGAAACUGGGGGUCUGGGCAAGAAGGUAAACAGCUCUAACAUUGUUUAAAUAGUUAAAAAAAAAAUCCUGACUUGCUUGGGUGUGUAACACUGAUUGUCUCUUUCAGUGCUGCUACUUCUGCUAUUCAGUCUUGUUCUCAAUUUUUUUUUUUAAUCUGUCUUUAAUUAGAAGCUUUAUUGCAAAAAAAAAAAAGAGAAAAACCGAAUUGUGUGGUGCUAAAUAUAGACCUGGGUAUUGAAUGAAUAUUGCAUUUUGUUACUUUUUGAAUAAAAUAACUUUCCAUAAUGCAAGUGUGUCAAACUAAUAUUUAGAGGGGAAUUCCCAAAUACUUGAACUAUGAGUCAUAAAAAGUUAAAGGACCCGUACAACAGUUCAGGAUAAAAACUCCGUUCAGCCCUGGGUGGCUGCUUUUGUACACGUUGGUAGUAAAAUAUGUCUUAAAAAAACCCCCAAAUAUUCACAGAGCUGAAGCUCUUUAAACUCUGCUGACCACAACCUAAAAGAUAGGUGGCAGAGACAAAACAGAUGACUGGGGUGGAGGAGUGUACAAGUGCUCUUGGUUUCAUGCAUCUUCUCUUUCAUUGUGUCUACCAACCUGGUGAAUAAGUCUUAUGUGCUGAGGGUUCUUCAAAGGGCUCUGACUCCUUAAUUCCUGUUAUAUAAUGUCUUAUCAAGAAAACAGACUCAAAACCAGCAAUAAGUGCACUUACUGUAAAUGAAAGAGAACAGAACAAAAAUUCUUGGUGCGUGUGACAGAUAAAAGUGGGGUUUAACUGGUUUUAUGUCUGGAUAUUGUGCCACGCUAUCGUCUCUUUAAACAUAACUACACAAAAUUUUCUUCCUUACUGUUGUUUUUCCUUACUUGAAGAGCUCAGAUACUCUCUGAAGUUCUGAAUUACUGCUGUUUAAAGACAUGUUCAGAGUUUUUUAAGAUGAAAAAGGCGGGCAAGUGUUCCCAGCUCCCACCUGCAGCUCUGAAAAACUCCUCGCGGUCUAAGGUUGAAAACUUUAUUUUGAAAACCUGUCACACAAAUUUCCAUGUUUUACUGGCAACAUUGUUCCUGCUCACUAAUUUGCAAUAUUUAAACAAAAACCAUUUGAGCCGUACUUUUUUCUAAGAAGCUGGUGCUAUACACAAGAGUAAUAAAGAUGGGUGACUUUCCAAUUUUUUUGUUUGAUUGAAUGAUAUUUCCCCUUUUCUCAUUGUUAAAAUGUCUCUGCUUGUGACUAGCUGGCUGUGGGAUGAUGCUGUUGUCUCAUAACAGCAACUUGUUCUUAGAUGCUCAGAUAUCCUGAGGUUUGAUCUGGAGAAAACCCUGGGAUGGGGCUGUGGGAUAGGUGGAGGAGCGUUUCUCUUGGCUUCAGCAGACCUUUAUCAUGUGCAAGCCUGAGGAAACACCCAGGUUUGAGUGGAAAUCUGGGAGGGUAAUUGCAAAAGCAUGGGAAUCAUCAGGGAGGUUGAGGGUAACAGUGGAUUUAAAGCCAGGAUAAGAGCUAUGAAGUUGAGUUUUGCACUAGAUCGUGGAGCAGACACCACUCUUCAGUUUCAAAUAAUCCUUGGCAACAGAAGGUUUUCAAGACUUGCUUUUCCCUCUUUGUGAGAUAGGAGGAGGAGAAGGUUUCAUGAGGUGAGGAAAGCUUGGUGGAGUGAAACAAUGUCAGUCAAUAAUGGUUUUGGGUGGCAGGGAUUGCUCUGGAGUGGCUCCUCUGCUUGCCAUGAGGGCCAGCAGUGAGGCACUUGGUGUUCAGUGCCCCUCUUCCCAGUAAGAACUGGGAAUUGCAUGGGCUUGGGGCUCUGGAAAAUUAGGCAAUAGCCCUGAAAGUACCCCAGGUUCCUGCACGCCGGGUCCCACAUUGGCUCCAUCUUAAGCAAAGCGAUCUUUUAUGAAUGGAUGCAAAUCUUCUUAAGCUCCCUGCAGUUGUCCUUAGGGCAAUUCCUGGCAGGUGGGCUUGUCCGGUCUGCAGCUGCAGAAAUGCAGGAGCCCGGGCUCAUGUCCUCACACAGGGGUGUUGCUCUGCAGUGAGAGAGGGUCAGGAGUCUGGAACUGGAAUGGCUAAAAACUUUCAGAGGGUAUGAGUGCUCAUUUAUUUUCUUCUCUUUUUUUUUGGUCUUUUUUUCUGUUUGCUUGGUUGGGGUUUUUUUGGUGGUGUUUGUUUUGUUUUGUUUUGUUUGGUCUUGUUGCCAUUUUGGUUUUUUGGGUUUUGUUUGAUUUAUUUCAUGGAGUUUGACCUAUUGAUUAUCUGUGACCACUGGCAUCUUUAAUAAUGUAGACUGUCUAGUUCAAAUAUAUCUCAGAGACAGGAAAUGUUUUAGUUUCAGGUCUAUUUCUGCCUUUUCACUUGCGUUCUUACUGUGUUUUUGUCUGAAGAGAGGGAUUUGUUUGAAAUAUUUCAGGUGCAGUUCCUAGAUUUCCACUUACUGACAUGAGAAUAUCUCUUUCACAUAACUUUUGACUUGUGAUCACUUUAGGUCAUGUUUAUUUAACCCUGGAAAUACCUAAUGAUCAUGAUUCCCUUGAAGAUCAGUAGGAAAAAAUAAAUAACUUGCCCUUCAAAUGAGGAACUGAUUCUGUGUAUAUGGCAUUAUAAAGGAUAACAUCUGCAGCAUUUAAUUUUUCUUAGAGUAAUGGAAGAAGAAUUAAGAGUUUAACAGCUGUACUGAGUAAACUUGC